UAAGGUGCAUCUAGUGCAGAUAGUGAAGUAGACUAGCACCUACUGCCCUAAGUGCUCCUUCUGGC
rnacentral:pre_miRNA from 2 species